rnacentral:rRNA from 1 species
UGGGUAGGGGAGCGUUCUGUAAGCCUGUGAAGGUGGCCUGUGAGGGUUGCUGGAGGUAUCAGAAGUGCGAAUGCUGACAUAAGUAACGAUAAAGCGGGUGAAAAGCCCGCUCGCCGGAAGACCAAGGGUUCCUGUCCAACGUUAAUCGGGGCAGGGUGAGUCGACCCCUAAGGCGAGGCCGAAAGGCGUAGUCGAUGGGAAACGGGUUAAUAUUCCCGUACUUGGUGUUACUGCGAAGGGGGGACGGAGAAGGCUAUGUUGGCCGGGCGACGGUUGUCCCGGUUUAAGCGUGUAGGCUGGUUUUCCAGGCAAAUCCGGAAAAUCAAGGCUGAGGCGUGACGACGAGGCACCACGGUGCUGAAGCAACAAAUGCCCUGCUUCCAGGAAAAGCCUCUAAGCAUCAGGUAACACGAAAUCGUACCCCAAACCGACACAGGUGGUCAGGUAGAGAAUACCAAGGCGCUUGAGAGAACUCGGGUGAAGGAACUAGGCAAAAUGGUGCCGUAACUUCGGGAGAAGGCACGCUGACACGUAGGUGAAGUGAUUUACUCAUGGAGCUGAAGUCAGUCGAAGAUACCAGCUGGCUGCAACUGUUUAUUAAAAACACAGCACUGUGCAAACACGAAAGUGGACGUAUACGGUGUGACGCCUGCCCGGUGCCGGAAGGUUAAUUGAUGGGGUUAUCCUCGCGGAGAAGCUCCUGAUCGAAGCCCCGGUAAACGGCGGCCGUAACUAUAACGGUCCUAAGGUAGCGAAAUUCCUUGUCGGGUAAGUUCCGACCUGCACGAAUGGCGUAAUGAUGGCCAGGCUGUCUCCACCCGAGACUCAGUGAAAUUGAACUCGCUGUGAAGAUGCAGUGUACCCGCGGCAAGACGGAAAGACCCCGUGAACCUUUACUAUAGCUUGACACUGAACAUUGAGCCUUGAUGUGUAGGAUAGGUGGGAGGCUUUGAAGCGUGGACGCCAGUCUGCGUGGAGCCAACCUUGAAAUACCACCCUUUAAUGUUUGAUGUUCUAACGUGGACCCGUUACCCGGGUUGCGGACAGUGUCUGGUGGGUAGUUUGACUGGGGCGGUCUCCUCCCAAAGAGUAACGGAGGAGCACGAAGGUUGGCUAAUCCUGGUCGGACAUCAGGAGGUUAGUGCAAUGGCAUAAGCCAGCUUGACUGCGAGCGUGACGGCGCGAGCAGGUGCGAAAGCAGGUCAUAGUGAUCCGGUGGUUCUGAAUGGAAGGGCCAUCGCUCAACGGAUAAAAGGUACUCCGGGGAUAACAGGCUGAUACCGCCCAAGAGUUCAUAUCGACGGCGGUGUUUGGCACCUCGAUGUCGGCUCAUCACAUCCUGGGGCUGAAGUAGGUCCCAAGGGUAUGGCUGUUCGCCAUUUAAAGUGGUACGCGAGCUGGGUUUAGAACGUCGUGAGACAGUUCGGUCCCUAUCUGCCGUGGGCGCUGGAGAACUGAGGGGGGCUGCUCCUAGUACGAGAGGACCGGAGUGGACGCAUCACUGGUGUUCGGGUUGUCAUGCCAAUGGCACUGCCCGGUAGCUAAAUGCGGAAGAGAUAAGUGCUGAAAGCAUCUAAGCACGAAACUUGCCCCGAGAUGAGUUCUCCCUGAGACCUUGA